AAAGAGGAGCUUGCGGCAGAUUAGCUAGUUGGUAAGGUAAUGGCUUACCAAGGCUACGAUCUGUAUCCGGUCUAAGAGGACGGUCGGACACACUGACACUGAACAACGGGUCAGACUCCUACGGGAGGCAGCAGUCGGGAAUUUUGGGCAAUGGGCGAAAGCCUGACCCAGCAACGCCGCGUGAAGGAUGAAGUAUUUCGGUAUGUAAACUUCGAAAGAAUGGGAAGAAUAAAUGACGGUACCAUUUAUAAGGUCCGGCUAACUACGUGCCAGCAGCCGCGGUAAUACGUAGGGACCAAGCGUUGUUCGGAUUUACUGGGCGUAAAGGGCGCGUAGGCGGCGUGACAAGUCACUUGUGAAAUCUCCGGGCUUAACUCGGAACGGUCAAGUGAAACUGUUGUGCUAGAGUGCGGAAGGGGCAAUCGGAAUUCUUGGUGUAGCGGUGAAAUGCGUAGAUAUCAAGAGGAACACCUGACGUGAAGACGGGUUGCUGGGCCGACACUGACGCUGAGGCGCGAAAGCCAGGGGAGCAAACGGGAUUAGAUACCCCGGUAGUCCUGGCCCUAAACGAUGAAUACUUGGUGUCUGGAGUUAUUAUUGCUCCGGGUGCCGUCGCUAACGUUUUUAGUAUUCCGCCUGGGGAGUACGCACGCAAGUGUGAAACUCAAAGGAAUUGACGGGGACCCGCACAAGCGGUGGAGCAUGUGGUUUAAUUCGACGCAACGCGAAGAACCUUACCUGGACUAGAAUGUGAGGGAAGGGCUUCUAAUAGAGUCCGUCUGGGAAACCAGACCCAAAACAAGGUGCUGCAUGGCUGUCGUCAGCUCGUGUCGUGAGAUGUUGGGUUAAGUCCCGCAACGAGCGCAACCCUUAUCAACAGUUGCCAUCAUUAAGUUGGGAACUCUGUUGAGACUGCC
rnacentral:rRNA from 1 species